rnacentral:rRNA from 1 species
AAUGAAACCUGAUAUGACUUAGUGGCGGACGGGUGAGUAACACGUGAGCAACCUGCCUUUCAGAGGGGGAUAACGGCUGGAAACGGUCGCUAAUACCGCAUGACGUGUUCGGAUGGCAUCAUCUGAACAUCAAAGAUUUAUCGCUUAGAGAUGGGCUCGCGUCUGAUUAGAUAGUUGGCGGGGUAACGGCCCACCAAGUCGACGAUCCAUAGCCGACCUGAGAGGGUGACCGGCCACAUUGGGACUGAGACACGGCCCAAACUCC